UCCGAUAUGGUGUAGUGGCUAACAUCGCUCGCUUUCAAUUCGAUUCUGUAAAUCUGAUUGAAGUUCCCGAGCAGCCCCGGGUUCGAUUCCCGGUGUCGGAA
rnacentral:tRNA from 1 species